GGCAGCGAUUUGUUGCUUGGCAUAUGGUACUGCGGCUGAUACGGUUGACGAAUACCUCCGACUCGGUUCAACUACAACUCGAUCAUGUUUGGAAAAUUUUGUGGAUGGAAUAAUAUAUUUAUUCAGCGAGGAGUACCUAAGAAGACCUACACCGGCUGAUCUUCAACGUCAACAUUUAUGGAAUGACUAUUUCAGUGAAACUCCAACAUAUCCUCAUAAUCUAUUCCGACGACGUUUUAGGAUGAACAAGUCUUUGUUCGUGCAUAUUGUUGAUCGACUCUCCAAUGAAGUUGAAUUCUUUCGACAAAAGAAAGAUUGUCGGGGAAGGCUUAGUCUCUCUCCACUUCAGAAGUGUACGGCAGCGAUUUGUUGCUUGGCAUAUGGUACUGCGGCUGAUACGGUUGACGAAUACCUCCGACUCGGUUCAACUACAACUCGAUCAUGUUUGGAAAAUUUUGUGGAUGGAAUAAUAUAUUUAUUCAGCGAGGAGUACCUAAGAAGACCUACACCGGCUGAUCUUCAACGUCUACUUGAUAUUGGUGAAUAUCGUGGAUUUCCCGGGAUGAUAGGAAGCAUCGAUUGUAUGCAUUGAGAGUGGAAGAAUUGUCCCACCGCUUGGAAAGGUCAAUAUUCUCGUGGUUCGGGAAAACCCACAAUCGUUUUAGAGGCGGUUGCAUCUUAUGAUCUAUGGAUAUGGCAUGCAUUUUUUGGACCUCCAGGUACCUUAAAUGAUAUCAAUGUUCUUGAUCGCUCACCUGUUUUUGAUGAUAUAAUAAAAGGUGAAGCUUCGCAAGUCACCUUCCAUGUCAAUGGAAGAGAGUAUCAUAUGACUUACUAUCUCACCGACGACAUUUACCCAAAAUAGGUAACUUUUAUCCAAUCAAUUUCAAUGCCACAAGGGCCGAAAGCGGUUUUAUUUGCUCAACAACAAGAAGCUGUCCGAAAAGAUGUGGAGCGUGCUUUUGGAGUCUUGCAAGCUCGUUUUGCCGUUGUUAAAAAUCCGGCACUUUUUUGGGAUAAAGUCAAAAUUGGGAAGAUUAUGAGAGCAUGUAUCAUACUCCAUAACAUGAUAGUGGAAGACGAACGAGAUGACUACACUCUAUAUAAUGUUACAGAGUUUCAACAAGGAGAAGACUCCGGAAGUUCACAUGUGGAUCUCGAUUUUGAUAUGGGUAUGCCUACAAAUAUCGCCAAUUUGAUGGAUGCUCGAACUAGAAUUCGUGAUAAACCAAUGCAUGAACAACUGAAAGCUGAUUUGGUUGAACAUCUAUGGGGUAAAUUCAGACGUGAUGAAUACAACAAUUGAGCUCAGAUGUUUCUUUUAAAUUAUUCUCGUUUAUUUUACUAAUCUUUGUUUUAUUGUUUUUUUUU
rnacentral:lncRNA from 1 species